rnacentral:rRNA from 1 species
UACGUAGGGUCCGAGCGUUGUCCGGAAUUACUGGGCGUAAAGAGCUCGUAGGUGGUUUGUCACGUUGUUCGUGAAAACCCACAGCUCAACUGUGGGCGUGCGAGCGAUACGGGCAGACUAGAGUACUGCAGGGGAGACUGGAAUUCCUGGUGUAGCGGUGAAAUGCGUAGAGAUCCGGAGGAACACCAGUGGCGAAGGCGACACGCUGGGCCGUACCUGACACUGAGACGCGAAGGCGUGGGGAGCGAACGGG